CAAGAUUCAGUGCCAGGAGUUCUUAGUUGUCUUGUUUUUCAUAUCUAAUUGCUUUGUGGUCAGAGUCCGUGAUCUUUAGGAUAUGGAUUCUUUGGCAUUUGUAGGGACUUUCUCUCUGGCCCAGUGUAGCAGAUACUGCUGGCUCUGUCUAUAUCCCUUCUCCUCAUUCUUCUUACUCUUAGAACUUGGGUUUUGCUCAAGUUGUUAGUGUUUACCAUAAAAACAACAAACCAACCAAACAAAAGCAAAAACCUAACCAACUUUCUCUCUUAGUCUUUCCUGAAGGAAUGGUCAUGUCCCAGAACCCUGGCCCAUGGCAGGUAGGCAGAGUCACUGGUGCAGCUUCUGGGAAAGCUCUUGAAAAAGGGACAGUCCCAUGCUUGUUAUUUUCACUUUUUGUUCAUGGUCCUUCCUCCUCCUUUCCGCCUAGAAACUGGAUACAGAGCCUGGAGUUGGAAGGAGGUUACUUUGUAACCAGUGGGCAAAAGCUGCAGGUAAGGAUGGUGCAUCCAGAACAUAAGGCUCCUUGCUCCCCAGGGGGUUUCUUUGCUGUCCUUUUGUAUGAAUAUUCCACCAGCCCUGAACUGCUUAUUUCUAGACUCAUGUUACAUUAAGAAAAAAAAGAUAACUUUAAAAAAAAAUCCUCAAGGAUUUUUAUUUCAAUUACAAUCCUAAAGGAUUAUAAUUUCAUAGUGGGGGAGCUACUAGGAAUUUUUUUAUUACUCUUAAUUUUUAUUAAUCCCAGCUCAGUACAGUUACUUCUAGUGUGGCAGCCAUGAGAACCUGCCUCUUGGGUGAAUAUCUGGGGGCGUAGUUGGCUGAUGGCACUGGUUGCUACCCAUUCUAGGACCUACCUCUGGUGCUGUGCUAAAAUUACUCCUAGCAGUGACUAAGCAUGGCAGGAGUAAUAGUGCAAGCCCAUUCCUGUGGGUAGUAGGGCUCUUCUAGUGAUGCCUGUGGCCUGAAAACCCCCGCACUGGCCUGGCCCAAACCUGACUGUGCUGAGGUUUGAGACUCCAUACCCAGUCCUCCUUGACCAUUUUCCCUUUUUUCUGGCUGAAUUUGACAAUAAAUACCAAAAUAUGAAUAUAAGUCCUUGAUGACCUUGUCAAAGUUGAUUCUGUGACAUAUUGCCCACAAAAACCUGAUUAAAAUGGGUUCAGGACAAACUAGGAGAAAAAUUGGAGAUAGUAAAGAGAAAGAUUUUUAAUUCCUUAAUCUUAUUAAUUUAUUAUUAGUAGUAAAGCCAUGCCAGUUUUAUUUUGUUGUUAGUAUCUGUUAUGUAUUUCUCCAUUCUUCUCAUUCAAACCUGUGUACUUAAGCUUUAGAUAUGGCUCUUGUAAAUAGGAUGUAUGUAGCUGGAUGAAAAAAUCCAAUCUGAAAAUAUCUUUUAUUUGUAAACCAAUCUAAUCUUUUAUUAUGAUACCUAAUAUUUUGGAUUAAUUUAUACCAUUUUAAAGUCGUGAUUUCUAUUCUGUAUUUUUCUUUGAAAAUUGGAAAUAGAGAAGAUUUGACUAAAAUAUAUACAUAAA
rnacentral:lncRNA from 1 species